CCGUGGGCUUACACGCAAGCCGCGGGGACAGUGCCCAGCUCUCCUGGGAUUCCGGACCUCCCAAAGCGAAGCCGAUCGAUCAGGUCUAGGAGGGACUGCAGCCAGGGAGGGCGGAGCCUGCCUGAGCCCCUCGCGGGUGUCAGGGCCAGGAUCCGCUCCGGCCACAGCCCCCAUACCGCUGGCCGGUGUUUGCAGAGCAGAGACCCCUGGCUAAGGUGGAGCCUCCCCUGUGCAGGCUCCAGUGGUGGGGGGGAGGUGAUUAAGGAGGCAGAGUCUGGCUGUAGAGGAAUAUGAGUUGGCUGUGUAGUCAGGGGCUGGGCAGGAUUCUCUGCAGAAGGGACAAGAGCAGAGAGAGGGGCUGGGGACACUCGUCGGUGAGGGGUUUCUGGGGGUAGGUCACAGGAGGCAGCGAAAGCCAUCCUCCCCUCAGAGCCCUGGCUCAGCCCGUGAGCCCCACCGGCCCCACCGCCACUCGCCCACGCCUUGUGUUUGCUGCUGACUGCGCGGGCCUGGGCCAGGUGCUGCAUGUGCAGGCGGACGUGAGUGCCCAAGGCCUUGGCUGCCCUGGAGGACGCAGGCAUCCCCGGGGCAACUGGACCACGCAGGGCCGCUGGGGAAGUGCCUCGCUGAAGCCGGACCCAGCGCAGGCGAAAGGGCCUGCCUGGGUUCGACACCUGGCUCCAGCUUCCUGCUCAUGCAGACCCCGGGAGGCAGCGGCGACAGCACAAGUAACUGAGUCCCUGAGUCCACGCCAGCGGCCUGCAUGAAGCUGCCUGCUGAGGCCCAGCCCGGUUCCAGCUCCUGGGACGGGGGAGUGAAGUAGCGGGUAGGAGCUCACCCUCACGCUCUUCCUGCCUCUUAAAGCAAGAAAAGGCAAAGCAAAACUAACCAACCAAGUGGCUGUCGUGGGUAUCCACGGACAGAGGAUGGUGGUGCCACUCGGGGGGUGCCUGGGAGCCGGCGGUAGAUGAAGUUGACAACUGCAGUCAGGUAUCGCUUAUCUAUGGGGAAGCUGGAGAAGUGUGUCACUGUGCGGACUUCACAGGGGCAGCGUCCACACGGCUACAAGGUGUAGGUCAGUCACCCCGUGUGGCCUCUGGAUGCCACCAAGAGAUGUGGUAGGGACGGGCACCGUGGCACAGCAGUUAGGUGACUACCUGGGACGCCCACGUUCUAUAAUCAGAGUCCCCUCUGCCGGAAGCCUUGAGCUUCCUCCAGGUCUCCCACGUGGGCGCAGGGGCCCAAGUGCUUGGGCAUCUUCCCCUGCUUUCCCAGGCACAUUAGCAGGGGGCUGGAUCGGAAGUGGAGCAGCCAGGACUUGAACCUUUGUUAGUAGAAGGAGGACACCCGAAAAUAGCAAUAACAGGCAUAAGACACUAAAUGCGAACCCCACCCCCGGCUGUUCAGCAUCAAGAUCGAUUUUCCUGCCGUGUGCAACAAGUGUGGACGCCUGGGCGCCCCAGGCUUGUUCCUGCAGCGUCACCAUGGAGACGCUGCGCGAUGACAACACAGCAGCCACCGUGCUGCGAUGUCACGAGACAGCUGUGACCCUGGGACAGCUCCAGCGUCACCGUGGUGGUUCUCCAGCUCCGUCCUGGUCACGCGGCGUCACUGCUGUGUCAGCUUGGUCUCUCCUUGGCUGGCCGGCCCUGAUGCUGUGCCUAGGAUGCCCCAGACAAAAACCUAACUCAGACGGGACCGUGCACCUAGAUGUAACCCCCCAAGCACUAAAAUUCCUAAAAGCAACACUGGAGAAAAUCCUAAUCUUGAGUUUGACAAAUGUUUAUUAAAUGUGACAUGGAAAGCAUAAACAAAAAAGAAUCAGUAAACCGAACCUCAAAACAAAACAUUUGGGGGGUGGAUGUUUGGCCUAACAGUUAAGACAGCAGUGGGUACACCCACUUCCCAUUUCAGAGGGCCUCGUUUCUUUUCUUUUUUUUUUUUAAGAUUUAUUUAUUUAUUUGAAAGUCAGAGUUACACAGAAGGAGAAGAGGCAUAGAGAGCAAGAGGAAGAGCAAGAGAGAGAGAGGUCUUCCAUCCGCUGGUUCACUCCCCAAAUGGGUGUAACAUUUGAGGCUGGGCCAGGCCAACGCCAGGAGUCAGGAGCUCCAUCCGGGUCUCCCGCGUGGGUGCAGGGGUCUGAACACUUGGGCCAUCUUCUGCUGCCUUCUCAGGUGCAUGAGCAGGGAGCUGGAUCAGAAGCAGAGCAGCCAGGACUUGAACCCAGUGCUCCAACAUGGGAUAUCAGUGUGGCAGGCAGUGGCUUAACUCACUGCACCACAAUGCUGGUCCCCCAGAUACAUUUUAAACAUAAUGGGGCUGGCAUGGUGGUGUAGCCGGGGAAACUGUUGCCUGCGAUGCCAGCAUCCCAUAUGGGUGCCGACUCAGUCCCGGCUGCUCCAUUUCCAAUCCAGCUCCCUGCUAAUGUGCCUGGGAAAAGCAGCAGAGGACGGCCCAAGUGCUAGGGUCCCUGCCACCCAUGUGGGAGAAGUGGAAGAAGCUCCUGGCUCGACUUCCGCCUGGCCCAGCGCUGGCCGUUGCAGCCAUUUGGAGAGUGAACCAGAGGACUGGAAAACCUCUCUGCCUCUCUGUAACUCUGACUUUCAAAAUAAAUAAAUCUUGGCCGGCGCCACAGCUCACUAGGCUAAUCUUCCUGUGGUGCCGGCACUCCGGGUUCUAGUCUUGGUUGGGGCGCCGGAUUCUGUCCCUGUCGCUCCUAUUCCAGUCCAGCUCUCUGCUGUGGCCCGGGAGUGCAGUGGAGGAUGGCCCAGGUGCUUGGGCCCUGCACCCGCAUGGGAGACCAGGAGAAGCACCUGGCUCCUGGCUUCGGAUAGGCGCAGCACUGGCCAUAGAGGCUAUUUGGGGGGUGAACCAACGGAAGGAAGACCUCUCUCUGUCUUUCUCUCUCACUGUCUAACUCUGCCUGUUUAAAAAAAAAUGAAUAAAUCUUUAAAAAAAUGUUUUAAAGUCAAUUUUGUUUGUCAAAACAUGAUUAAAUAGAAAUGAAAAACAGGCCAUAGGCCAGGAGGAGAUAUUUGAAGAAACUAUUUCUGAUGUAGGGCUUUGUGCUUAGAACUUCUACAAAGAACUGUUAGGCCUUUAAAAAAAAUCCAAUAAAGCAAUAAAGUGGGUCAAACAUUAGAACACACUUCAUCCCACGAGAUACAUGGAUUGCACACAAGCACAUGAAAAAAUGCUCGGCACACUACUCAUUGGGGAAAUACAGAUCAAAACUCCUGCUAGAGAGACUAACACAUCAAAAAUUGGCCACACGAAGCGUCAGGGAUGUGGAGGCCUGGAGCGCUCCUACACUGGGGUGUGUGUGUGUGUGUGUGUGUGUGAUGAAGCCACCACUUUGGAUACGGGUCAGAAGUUUAAAAUUCAGCAAUAAAAAGAAAUGAAAAGACACGGCGCAACCUUCGAUGCUACUGCGUGAAAAGCUACGUAGUGUGUGAUUCCAGAGCCGUGGUAUUCUGAAGAGGCCCAGUGGGGACCAGGGUGAGAGGAGGAGGGGAGCAGGCGGCGCUGGAGGCGUUUUUAGGCAGUGGGCUCGCCCUGUGUGCUGCUGCCCACCGGGCACCUUGCAUUUGUCGAAAUGCGCAGGCUUCGGUUAGUAACAGUGUAUCAGUGUGGGUAACAUCGCUGCAGGAUUGGUGCUGGCUUGUAACCAGGAUACCAAACCGGUGCAAGAGCUGCAUAUGACGACCCAUAAACCUACAACUGCUCUAAAAAAGCGUAUUUUAGAAAAAAGAAUGAAACAGACACAUGCGAGUGGGAAGCGCCAGUGCAGCCUUGGUUCUCCGGUGCCCGGGAACGCCCUGCAGUUCCGACACCUGCCUGAAGGCGGCGGCAGAUCCCACAAGUUGAGUGCUCAGCCUCCGAGCCGGCCCCCACUCCCCGAACUCCCCGAACAGCCAGCCGUGUCGCACAGAGGGAACAGGGCUGCAGGUGAGGGACAGGGGUGCGGAAGGGGCGUGGAGCCUCCAGGCCCUCCCCCAGCGGGUCACCCUGCAGGAGCCCCGGUCCUGUCCUCUGGGGGUUGGAUGGAGUGCUCAUCGCAGAGGGGAAGCUAGCUCCGCCGGAUGCUGGGAAGUGAAUGGGGAAGCCCGGCGGGGCCCGCGCACCCUCCCGGCCCUGUCUGCGCAGGAGCCCUCUGCCGCGAGGAAGGGCUUAGGCCCUGCUCUCCUAAGGCAGGUCGGAGAAAUUCUAGAUUCUGAGGCUGGCCUUGGGUGGGGGUGGGGAGCUGUGGAUCAGGAAGCAGGAACAAGAUCAAGAGGCAGGCGCCCAGAGAUGCCCGCUGCUGCAGGACCCAUCCUUCCGGUGCUAAGCAGUCACUGAACGGCCGGCGCCGCGGCUCACUGGGCUAAUCCUCCGCCUGCGGCGCCGGCACACCGGGUUCUAGUGCCAGUCGGUCGGGGCGCCGGAUUCUGUCCCGGUUGCUCCUCUUCCAGGCCAGCUCUCUGCUGUGGCCAGGGAGUGCAGUGGAGGAUGGCCCAAGUGCUUGGGCCCUGCACCCCAUGGGAGACCAGGAGGAGCACCUGGCUCCUGCCAUCGGAUCAGUGCAGUGUGCAGGCUGCAGCGCACCGGCCGCGGCAGCCAUUGGAGGGUGAACCAACGGCAAAGGAAGACCUUUCUCUCUGUCUCUCUCUCUCACUGUCCACUCUGCCUGUCAAAAAAAUUAAAUUAAAAAAAAAAAAAAAAAAAAAAAAAAAAAAAAACAGUUACUGAAAACAAGCGAAGGCAUGGAAGGACUGGUGUGGAGGCGUUCACGGCCUGGUUCCAAACUGGAAAUGACCAAUGGGCAUCCGCGGGCGAUGGGUGGACCAAUGGGCGGAUACGCAACAAAACUCCCUGGCAGGUAGCAGGCAACCCGGCAUUACACAGCACCCCAGGGGCAUCCUGAGUUCUACAGAGCACAAGACAGAUGUGAGUGCACUCCUUGGAACAUUCUGGAAAGUGCACACUAAUCUAGCAUGCACCCAGGUCAGCAGGUGCCUGGGGGGUCCUGGCAGGCGGGAGAGAGUGGGAGGGAGAAGUUGGGGGUGAGGAGCGUGCAUGUGGCCUAGUGGUUAAGACAGCUGCAUCGGGGGCUGGGGUCGUGGUGUAAUGGGUUAAGUCGCCUCCUGCAGCUCCAGCAUCCCGUAUGGGCGCUGGUUCGAGACCCAGCCCUGUCUCAACCCCAGCUGUUGCGGUAUCUCAGGACUGCUCUCUCUUUUGUA